AAAACACGUUUGAUCCUUUCUCAAUUAUCCUCAUCGAUUAGCUUACAUAAUAAUCGCGAACUAGUUACGAGGACGUCUAAAAUCACUCAUCGUUGUGACGUCUCCGAAAUAAAAUCGUCCAACUCGUUCUCACGGAUUCAAUUAUACAGGCCUUGUCCCAAGAGUACGAUCGAACGGAGCAGUUUAAUCGAGUAUGAUGAUAGCACAACUUUCGAAAAAUUAUACUGACGACUGGUUUGGGAAAAAAAUGGUCAAAAUGGUGGGAAAAAAAAGAAACAUAUACAAAACAAACUUAUUUAAAUGAUAUUAUCAGCUUGUGUAAUCAUCUCAUCGAAACCCCUAGCUAAAUAAAUACUUUAUUUCGUAUGUCAUUAUUGAAAUAUGUAUUCCGAUAGGUCAUUCAAGAUCGCAGAACCAGAUAUAAGACGGUGUUUUUUUGUUUCUUCUUUUCUUCCCAACGAAUAUUAAUUGCCCGUGUGUAUAAUGCAACGUGUAUAAUUUAUAAGGGUAAAACGGUACGUCAAUCACCAUUAAAUAGAACGGUGAUAAAAAGGGUGAAGAAUAGAGAACAAAUAAGAAAAUUAUGUACAUAAAUCAUUGCAGUCAUUACCAAUGCCUGCUUUACGAUUUACUAUCAAACGUUCAUUCGUCGCGUAUUAACAUAACCGAUCUGCAAAUGCACACAAGCGAUCUAUACACGGAGGGAAAGGAUUUAUUUCAGUAAUGUGAUAUUCGUUUGAUUAAACUAAAUGCUAUAGUCAAAUACGGUAAACUACUUUAGUCGGACUUAAUGUGUAAAUAAAUCAUGCCUUUGAAUGAUCAUGGGUAUUACACAUUCCUGACUUGGAUCAGUUAACCUGAUGGCGAAUUUAAUUCACGUUAUCCGAAUCUGAUUACGAGCCCGACUACCCAGUUUUAUAACAAUCUUUGAAGCUACUUUCAUAGCGAGAAAGUUCACCGCCUAGUGGCCGUUUACAGUACUAGUAUACCGAUACUUACGAUGAAUAUAUUCGCUACUUGUUCGAUCACGACAAGAAAGCCAUUUUUGUUGAAUCAAGGAAUUCGCUUGACUAAAUCAUUUUGACAAACUACCUAAUAAAUCGAAAUUGUCGAAUUGAAGUAAUCGUAUUUAAACAAACAAGGGAAUGGACUCUGAUAAAAUUUAUUUUCGUGUUUCAAGAAUUCCUUUAUCUCCGUGUAUGCGUGUAGCUGCAAUUACGUAUGCAAUUAAUUAAGCCAUAGACAAACUGCAUCGACAAGCGAAAAUACGUAGUGUAGUAUAUGUAAUUGAUACAGAAAUGUGUUGAAAAUUUAUAAUAUUAUUACUAUUGUUAUUAUAUAAUAAGAAAUUACUCAAUGCAGGAUUCUUAAAAUAAGAUGUAAAAAUUAUAAGAUAUGAAUUUCUGUUUCACGUAUUUAUUACUGUACGUAAGCGAGUUAAAAAAAAAAACGAUUGGCGUUCGAAUGCAGGGAAAAAUUAUUCGCAUUACGAAAAUUUAUACUACCUUGCAAAAAUUUAUAUUAAUGUAGCAGAAUCAGCAAAUUAGUACACCUCGAGUUAUUCGCCUUUUCAAACGGAUUGUUUCUUGGUAUAUUACUGCGGGUUAAAAAUUUCGUGUAAUGAAACUGUUUUGAACGGAAAAUAUAAAUUUUUGAUUUCACCCCCGACCCAGGAAUUACCUUGUAAACUUAUAUUUUGUAAAAUAAAAAUUUUAUUCCAUCCUCUUCGACCGAUAUCAAUUCUUUUCCCUAUUUUUUAUAUCGGCAUAAAACUUCAUUGAUACUUUAGCCGUAGUCGAUCGAACGUGAAACAUAAGGUUGCGAAUUUCAUAAGACCCCAUCCAUACGUGCAAUGUGUAUCGCAGGUAUUAUAGAAAGGUAAAAAGAGGAAAGGCAAGAAGGCGGUCAGUGCGUUAGGAUCGCCACGACACCGUAAACUAAACGACUCCUGUGCCUCAAGCUUCGUUCGAGAACGUGAAAUGCCUCACUCCGGUGGAUUCCGUCGUGUAUUAGGGCUUCAAGAUAUCUAGGUGAUCCAUUAAACUAAUAAAAUUAAGAACACGCGUCUUAUAUGGCUUCUGUAAAAGGAUCAUACCUUUGGGUCAUACCUAAGGUAGAGGGCCUUACGUACUAUCUAGAGAUCCAGUAAUUGUUUAUUACUGAUGAGAUAAUUUUUCAAUAGAGAUAUUAAUAAUCGGUGUUUUUUUAACCGAAUUAAUUCAACAACCAAAGCACAAAUUCGCUCGAAUUGAAACUGCGGAAUUUGGUCUGUUAUAAAUAAAUAAAUCGGUUAAAGGAAUAAAUGAACCGGACCAUCAUAAAAUUCUUACUUAUGUUUAUUACUGUAACGUUAUUGUUUUAUUUCUUGAUUUUUUUAAUCUUAUAGAGCGUGUUGCGCGUCAGAUAUGACAUAAACAAGUAGAUUAGUAUGAUUUUUACCUAAAAACGAUUAUUAAUGCUUUUAAUAAUAGAGUAAAUGUAUAUUUAUGUACCAUAAUAUUCACAUUAUAUUAUAUACCCGAUAAAUUGUUAAUCGUAUGACUAUGUAAUUAUAUAAAUUAAAGAAGGCUCUUCGGGGAAAAUAAUUUAUCAACAUUAUAACUUAGUACGACGACAAAACUUCGCAGGAACCUCCACAUAUACAACGAAAAUCAUUCAAUUUAUUUAGGCUAUCUUAGACGGUAUUUUUAGAAUAAAGAAGAAAAGAGUACCGCUCUCUUUGUUUUUCUCCCCGCUAAAAGAA
rnacentral:lncRNA from 1 species